AUGUCGAUUAUUCUUAUUUUGAGUAACACGGGAAGAAAAAGAAAGAGGAAAGGAUUUGGUGGGUGUAUUCAGGAAGGGGUGGGGGAGAUAUUUUUUUUCGUUAUCGCCGGAGAAAUCGAUGGUGAAUGGCGAUGGCGGAGUGACAGAGAAGAAGACGAAGGAGAAAGGGCAAUGGGGAUCGCAGAUGACUUAAGCCAAGCUCUAUCUCUCCGUGAUGACAUGAUGGAUACUUCAAGAUCAGAAAGAGGAACAAAUGAGUGUGGCAUUGAACUUAGUGUGGUUGCAGGAUUGCCUUCAGCAAGAAAUUUGAAUGUAGAACUUGAUGAUGCUUUCCUUGAUGCCUCAAUGUCCAAUUAUUGCGAAAGCUUAGUCUUGUCCAUUGUUGAAUACAUAAUUUCUUUUUUGAACGGCAAGCAGGUUGUUGCAGAAAAUCCAAUAUCCCAAGCUAAAGCGGAAUCUGCAAUCCUUCAGGACUCAAUCGUUAAACAGGUUAAUGAAAAUGAAAAAGCUGGAUGGAGAGCUGCACUGAACCCUCAAUUCUUGAAUUUCACGGUUUCCCAAUUUAAGCGCCUUCUUGGAGUUAAGCCCACAAGAAAGGGUGAUUUGAAGGGUAUCCCUAUUUUAACUCAUCCAGAACUUUUGAAGUUACCCCAAGAGUUUGAUGCACGAGUGGCUUGGCCUCAGUGUAGCACUAUUGGGAGAAUUCUUGAUCAGGGACAUUGUGGUUCUUGUUGGGCUUUUGGUGCUGCUGAGUCGUUGUCUGAUCGUUUCUGUAUUCAUUAUGGCUUGAAUAUCUCUCUGUCAGCAAAUGAUAUCGUAGCAUGCUGUGGCUAUUUAUGUGGGGAUGGUUGUGAUGGUGGAUAUCCAUUAGAAGCUUAGAAAUACUUUGUUCGCAAGGGUGUGGUCACUGAAGAGUGUGACCCUUACUUUGAUAAUAAGGGAUGUUCCCACCCUGGAUGUGAACCUACAUAUCGCACUCCACAGUGCAAGAGGAAGUGUGUUAAAGAGAAUCUACUCUGGAAUAAAUCCAAGCAUUUUGGCGUCAAUGCAUACCUGAUCAACUCCGAUCCGUACAGUAUCAUGACAGAAGUUUACAAGAAUGGACCAGUUGAGGUUUCUUUUACUGUUUACGAGGAUUUCGCUCACUACAAGUCUGGAGUUUACAAACACACAAAUGGUGAGGAAAUGGGAGGCCAUGCUGUUAAGCUCAUUGGAUGGGGAACCUCUGAGGAUGGAGAGGACUAUUGGCUCCUUGCCAAUCAAUGGAACAGAGGCUGGGGUGACGAUGGCUACUUCAAGAUCAGAAGAGGAACAAACGAGUGUGGCAUUGAAGAAGAAGUGGUUGCAGGAAUGCCUUCACCCAAAAACCUGAACGUGGAACUUGAUGUCUCUGAUGCUUUCCUCGACGCCUCAAUGUGAUUGCUAAUUCUUCAACUAAACACUAAAUAGGAUUCGAGUUUCUGAAGACUUGGGGAAUAAUAACAUUUUAAGUUUCAUAUUCUUCCCCUCUUAAGUUAUCUGCAACAUUUGUAAUCUGCAAUUGUUCCACAAUCUUAUCUAUCUUUAGAAGUGUUUUUCUUAUCUGUUAUGUAUUUCUUCACAAAUACUCUGUCAAUCUUGACAACGUUAAAAACAUUAUCAUAUAUUGUACUUGAUAUUAUCAAUGAAAUGUACUUAGACU